AUAAUCGUUCCCUGGGCUUGAGGGUAUUCGCACGAUUCUUCUACACGCCCACGCGACUCCAGAGGAUCAACCUGAGGAUGAUCUUUGGAUACAUACAUAAGUACUGACAACCAGCAACGUACAACACACGUAGAUACUCAUUAGAUCAGGUUAGCAUCCAUCCAUCCAACAUUACCGAUGUGACUCCGAGCAUGAGUGAAACCAGGUCGACUCGUUCAGGAUGCUGGUACGGGUUGGAAGAUGAUGGUCGAUGCUGGGAGCCACCAGGAGGGUCAGAGAAUAUUUUCUUCCAGGGCACGGACCAUGUAAUUAGACGGACGCUUCGUGGGUACUGUACACGCAACCAUAAAGGGUCGUACUUGCCCAGGUACCUACCCGCCUCUCUCCUUUGCUCUCUGCUUUGCUCUUCUGCUCCCUUGCCUCCUCCGUCUAUUCUUGAGCACGUGCGGACAACCGGAGACACUAGAAAGGGAAAAGAUACUUGAUGAACAAUAAAAGAAAAAGUAUGAAGAACUGCUGGGUACUUGCUGAAAGUAUUCUUACGCACGUACCUGCCUACGCCAAAGGGCGCCGAGUCAAGCACGAGUCCUGUUAACGAGCUUGAAGUAAGAACUUUAUAGUACUUAAAUCUAGUUGCAUUGCUACAGUACGUAUACUUGCUGGUACUGUUAUUCAGCGCUUCAUUCUUGCACUCUAUAUUUCCCACAAUAUUGUAUCUGUGGACAGACAAAUAUUACGUAUAUGCCUGGUGACAUUUGCUUGAGGAUUUGUUUGCGUCAAAUUUAUUCGGAAUUCAUAAACACACACUGUUUUCCUCAUAUACUGUGGUACCCUACGGUGGCCAAUUGGCUACGGAUAAUUCGGUGGCCACCAUGAAAUCCCCAGGAAUUUUUGUAUUCGCAUCGAGAUUACGUAAGGCCUGGGUUACGGUACGAGAAAAUUCAUAUAGAUAGGAAUGCAGAAUAUUGCCGGCAGUCUGUCACAUUCGAUUCGGUGAGACGAGCGAUAUGCGUCCGGCGACCCUAUGAAUCCUCCUCGUUUUAUUACAUAUCCUAUGGUUUCCCCGUGUAGAUAUCAGACAAUAAACUGUGACUGUUUGGGAUUUGUGGCCGAGUAUUAAUCUCCCUGUAUUUAUGGACGACGAUGGUUCUACUAGGGCCGAAAUGGAUGGAUUUUCCUUUGGCUACGAGGACGACUCAACUGGUACAUCUGAUGUUUUUUAAUACAAUUUUGAGACUUCGGAUUUGUAAUAAAAAAAAUUGGUAGUACCAAAAAUAAAUUAGUAACGGUAUACGUCGUUCCAAUUGUAAAA